rnacentral:lncRNA from 1 species
UUCUGUCCUUUGAUUAGGUCGGGAGUUGGCGGGGUCAGCUUUCCUCUGUCGCCGUGAAUGAAGUGGAACAAGAAAGCUGUUGUGUGCUUUGAGGGGAAGAGCCAACUGCUGCAAAACAGAGUGAGGUGGUAAGGUCUUUGGCUUGGGAUGUUUGGGGCCAGAAGAGCUGGUUUUGUUCCAUGCAGUUUGUCUCCCCUUGUGUGCAUCUCCCAUGUGCGAUGUCCCAGAAGGUGCCAGGAGAUUCCCACCAGGAGCUUCCCUGUUCCCUCCUGCCUGGUGCUGAGCAGGUACCAGAUCCAGUGUCCUCAGGUGCUGCCUGCUCAUAGCCAGGCUGACUGCUAGCCCCUCUCCUUCCAUUUCACCGGUGUCCUCCUGUUUCUGCUCCACGCCGUAUUGGCUGUCUUCUCACCCUGUAGCAACACAUGCAUUUGAAUAAUGGAAAGGACACCUUAAAUUACGUUGUCUGCAGAUAUUACUGGGACUCCUAGGAUUUGCCAUGCUGGAUCAGAGUGCUGGUCCAUCUCAUGGGGCUCCUGCCCUGCAGCACCUGUGUGUGGUGCAUGGCAGGGCUCAGCUAUCCCAGCGCUCACAGGGAGCACCCCAGGCCCUGCUCAGGGCACCUGUACACUCUCUUUCUGAACUGCUACCUUGACAUAAAAUAGCUUUUCUCUCUUUAUUAAACUCCCGGUAAGAUUUUCUCCCAUUUUCACAAUUCCGUUUCCCCCUCCCCUCCUAUAUUUACAUUAUUUUAAUAGUUUGUUUUAACCAAGCUUGAUUUUUCAGGUCGUCCUUUUACAGCGUGUUAUCAGGAAGAUGUGAAAUAAAUGUGACAAAGUGAUGCAGUCCUUUAAAUCCGCCUUAAUUUUACUGGGAACACUGCUCUGCAGAAGGAAGUCACAAAAUUUGUCUGUGUGGGCAACAGCCCAGAAAAUGCAAUAUGUGUCUGUAUGGGGAGAAAAGGAGCAGAACCUGCCCCAGCACCUAGUGCUAGGGGGAACAAAUCCAUGCCCAAAGGCUCGUGUUAUUUUGUAUUUUUGUCCAAUAAAACUGUAUUUGGAGGCUUACUGA